CAAAAGAAAUCCUCGUUAUGAACUAUUUUUCGUUUCAUUUGACUUUACAGUCUCUGAUUUUUGGUGAUUUAUUUUCCCCCGAAAGGGGGCUGAGUUUGAUUCUCUCAAAUGGGGUUUUAACUUGCAAAACAAUUUUGAGUCUCGAGGAAAGGAGCCAGUGCAAGGAGCCAAACAAUGGCAAUGCCAUGGGCCAUGACCUUUUGGAUGGCAAAAAUGGUGUGGUUGGCUGUGACCGGGUGGGUUUCGUCUUGCCUGACUGUUGCUGAUGAGGUUGCUGGUUCCAUCAGAACUGGAGAUAUUGGCGCUUUUCAUGUUGGCUGAUUCUACUGCCAAAUUCACCAGUUCAAAGCUCUGCUGAUUGGAGGUCAUGGAUAAGAUGAAGGGAUGGUGGAUGCAUGACCUGGAGAUCCAAAGCAGCAUUUAAUUUUAUUUUGUGAAUGCUGUGAGUAGAUCUUUCAAUGGAUUUGUGAUAUGUUGUUUCAUAGUAAAUACAAAAUCAUAGUUGGGAUUUUCUUUGUACUGGAAAGCUAUAUUUUUCACAUUUUCAGUUUCAUAUUAAAUACAAAAUCAUAGUUGGGAUUUUCCUUGUGCUGGAAAGUUGUAUUUUUCUCAUUUUUGGUUGGAACAUUGCUUAAAAAGUUUGGUUGUCUGACUUUAAAACCAAGUUUUCCUGGUGGGCAGCUUUGUAUAGCAAAUUUCCUGAGUUCAAACAAUGGUGCUAUGCAAAUUUGGUUGCUAUUCAACAAUUUCUGGGAGGUAUUUUUGCCAAAAAAUCGUACUAUUUGGAUGCUUGGAAGUCAAAAAAUGAAAUACUGGGAAACUAUGGGGCCUACUUGAUUUAUUUUAUUUUUAAAUUUAGGUUGAUAGUGAAUAUAAAGUGAAAUUUUCUGCACUUUACAGUUUAUACUUGCACUCGAAGUGGUCCUUCCUUGUCUUCCUCAUGUGGCUUGACCUAUCUAAUCUAAGUUUGGUACAGGUUUAGAAACUAGGAGAUCUUAAUCUUCGUUUACAAUUCGUUUGAUACGAUCUGAUUUGAUUAUCACCCCUUAUGUGAUGAUGAGGCCCCCACCCAAGGUACUGGUUGCUAGUUACAAACUUACAACUUAGAGCGAGUUCAGACUCUGCCUGUUUUGGACCAAAAAACUUUGUGUGGGGUUGCUCAUGCCGCGUAGCAGUGCUGAGUUAUAGACUAGUAGAUAUAUUCUAGUUUCUUGAACGGAGGAUGUAUGUAGAGAAGGGCAGAUCUGCAUUUCUUUUUGUUCAUAUGUAUGUCACACGCUCAAUAAAAUGAGAAGAGUCUCAUGAAACUCAAAUUUAUAA